GGAAGCGUGGCAGAGUGGUCGAAUGCGGCGGUCUUGAAAACCGUUAGAGUCGUAAGAUUCUCAGAGGUUCGAAUCCUCUCGCUUCCGCCA
rnacentral:tRNA from 1 species